GACGAACGCUGGCGGCGUGCUUAACACAUGCAAGUCGAGCGGUAAGGCCCUUUCGGGGGUACACGAGCGGCGAACGGGUGAGUAACACGUGGGUGACCUGCCCUCAGCUCUGGGAUAAGCCUGGGAAACCGGGUCUAAUACCGGAUAUGACUCCAUGACGCAUGUUGUGGGGUGGAAAGCCUUGUGCGGCUGAGGAUGGGCCCGCGGCCUAUCAGCUUGUUGGUGGGGUGAUGGCCUACCAAGGCGACGACGGGUAGCC
rnacentral:rRNA from 1 species